rnacentral:rRNA from 1 species
CAGUCGCCGCGGGAAUACGUAGGUGGCAAGCGUUGUCCGGAAUUAUUGGGCGUAAAGGGCUCGCAGGCGGUUUCUUAAGUCUGAUGUGAAAGCCCCCGGCUCAACCGGGGAGGGUCAUUGGAAACUGGGAAACUUGAGUGCAGAAGAGGAGAGUGGAAUUCCAUGUGUAGCGGUGAAAUGCGUAGAGAUGUGGAGGAACACCAGUGGCGAAGGCGACUCUCUGGUCUGUAACUGACGCUGAGGAGCGAAAGCGUGGGGAGCGAACAGGAUUAGAUACCCGCGUAGUCCCUGUCUCUUAUAC